GGUUAAGCUACUAAGAGCACACGGAGGAUGCCUAGGCGCUAGGAGCCGAUGAAGGACGUGGCGAACAACGAAACUGCCUCGGGGAGCUGUAAGCAAGCUUUGAUCCGGGGGUGUCCGAAUGGGGAAACCCAGCUGGGGUAAUUUCCAGUUACUCAUAACUGAAUACAUAGGUUAUGUAGAGGCAUACCAGGGGAACUGAAACAUCUAAGUACCCUGAGGAAGAGAAAACAAUAGUGAUUCCGUCAGUAGCGGCGAGCGAACGCGGAGAAGCCCAAACCAGAGAGCUUGCUCUUUGGGGUUGUGGGACGUCUCACAUGGAGUUACAAAGGAACCGGUUAAGCGAAGAGGUCUGGAAAGGCCCGCCAAAGAAGGUAAAAGCCCUGUAGUUGAAAGUUGGUUCCCUCCGAGACGGAUCCCGAGUAGUGCGGGGCACGUGAAACCCCGUAUGAAUCCGGCAGGACCAUCUGCCAAGGCUAAAUACUUCCUAGCGACCGA
rnacentral:rRNA from 1 species